CUACGGGCCGCUCCAGUGGGGAAUAUUGGACAAUGGGGGAAACCCUGAUCCAGCAAUGCCGCGUGUGUGAAGAAGGCCUGCGGGUUGUAAAGCACUUUCGGUUGGGAGGACUGCUUCUAGCACUAAUAUUGUUGGAAGUUGACGUUACCUUCAGAAGAAGCACCGGCUAACUCCGUGCCAGCAGCCGCGGUAAUACGGAGGGUGCAAGGUUAAUCGGAAUUACUGGGCGUAAAGCGCGCGUAGGCGGCUAGAUCAGUCGGGUGUGAAAGCCCCGGGCUUAACCUGGGAACUGCAUCCGAUACUGUCUAGCUUGAGUACAGGAGAGGAGAGUGGAAUUCCACAUGUAGCGGUGAAAUGCGUAGAUAUGCGGAGGAACACCAAUGGCGAAGGCAGCUCUCUGGCCUGAUACUGACGCUGAGGUGCGAAAGCGUGGGGAGCAAACAGGAUUAGAUACCCCAGUAGUC
rnacentral:rRNA from 1 species